rnacentral:rRNA from 1 species
UCGGUGCGCGCCGGUCUAAGUUCCUUGGAACGGGGCGUCAUAGAGGGUGAGAAUCCCGUAUGUGACCGGUGACCAAGCCCAUGUGAAGCUCCUUCGACGAGUCGAGUUGUUUGGGAAUGCAGCUCAAAAUGGGUGGUAAAUUUCAUCUAAAGCUAAAUACUGGCCAGAGACCGAUAGCGCACAAGUAGAGUGAUCGAAAGAUGAAAAGCACUUUGGAAAGAGAGUCAAAAAGUACGUGAAAUUGUUGAAAGGGAAGCGCUUGCAACCAGACCUGUCCGCGGGUGAUCAGCCGUCCUUUUGGGCGGUGUACUCGCCCGCGAUCAGGCCAGCAUCGGUUCGGGCAGCCGGAUAAAGGCCUUGGGAACGUAGCUCCUCUUCGGGGGAGUGUUAUAGCCCUCGGUGCAAUGCGGCCCGCCGGGACCGAGGACCGCGCUUCGGCUAGGAUGCUGGCAUAAUGGUUGUAAGCGGCCCGUCUUGAAACACGGACCAAGGAGUCUAACAUCUAUGCGAGUGUUUGGGUGUCAAACCCAUGCGCGUAAUGAAAGUGAACGGAGGUGGGAACCCUGAAGGGCGCACCAUCGACCGAUCCAGAUGUCUUCGGAUGGAUUUGAGUACGAGCAUAGCUGUUGGGACCCGAAAGAUGGUGAACUAUGCCUGAAUAGGGUGAAGCCAGAGGAAACUCUGGUGGAGGCUCGCAGCGGUUCUGACGUGCAAAUCGAUCGUCAAAUUUGGGUAUAGGGGCGAAAGACUAAUCGAACCAUU